ACCGAAGCCCGUAGCCGUUUCCCUUGGGGGACGUGAUGGGUGGCUGGUAUCCUUCUAUCGAGGGGUGUAUGGCGCAGCGUGGGCCGGCCUUCGGGUCGCGAAUCCCCAUUGUUGCGGCGGACCACCCCUUGAGCAAUCCAGUGGGGGCAAUUGGAUGGCCCGCGGUGCCUUUCGGCGGCUUUGGCCCCGGAGGUCGCCCGGGCCGGGUGCCGGGAUUCGUCCCGCGCCCCGACCUUUGACUACUCCUGACCCCUCCUUCGUUGAGGGUCUCCGGCGGCCGCUCGUCCUUCGGGAUGUGUGGUUUCCCGGUCAAGAUAGUUACCUGGUUGAUUCUGCCAGUAGUCAUAUGCUUGUCUC
rnacentral:misc_RNA from 1 species